AGUGAACGCUGGCGGCAGGCCUAACACAUGCAAGUCGAACGGCAGCACAGUAAGAGCUUGCUCUUACGGGUGGCGAGUGGCGGACGGGUGAGGAAUACAUCGGAAUCUACUUUUUCGUGGGGGAUAACGUAGGGAAACUUACGCUAAUACCGCAUACGACCUACGGGUGAAAGCAGGGGAUCUUCGGACCUUGCGCGAUUGAAUGAGCCGAUGUCGGAUUAGCUAGUUGGCGGGGUAAAGGCCCACCAAGGCGACGAUCCGUAGCUUGUCUGAGAGGAUGAUCAGCCACACUGGAGCUGAGACACGGACCAGACUCCUGCGGGAGGCAGCAGUGGGGAAUAUUGGGCAAUGGGCGCGAGCCUGAUCCAGCCAUACCGCGUGGGUGACGAAGGCCUUCGGGUUGUAAAGCCCUUUUGUUGGGAGAGAAAAGCAGCAGGUUAAUACCCCGCUGUUCUGACGGUACCCAAAGAAUAAGCACCGGCUAACUUCGUG
rnacentral:rRNA from 1 species